AGCGAACGCUGGCGGCAGGCCUAACACAUGCAAGUCGAACGAACUCUUCGGAGUUAGUGGCGGACGGGUGAGUAACACGUGGGAACGUGCCUUUUUGUUCGGAAUAACUCAGGGAAACUUGUGCUAAUACCGAAUGUGCCCUUCUGGGGAAAGAUUUAUCGCCAUUAGAGCGGCCCGCGUCUGAUUAGCUUGUUGGUUAGGUAACGGCUCACCAAGGCGAAGAUCAGUAGCUGGUCUGAGAGGAUGACCAGCCACACUGGGACUGAGACACGGCACAGAAUAGUACGGGAGGCAGCAGUGGGGAAUCUUGCGAAAUGGGCGAAAGCCUGACGAAGCCAUGCCGCGUGAAUGAUGAAGGUCUUAGGAUAGUAAAAUUCUUUAACCGGGGACGAUAAUGACGGUACCCGGAGAAGAAGCCCCGGCUAACUUCGUG
rnacentral:rRNA from 1 species